GGUAGCAUGGCCGAGCGGUAUAAGGCACUGGUUUAAGGCACCAGUCAUUUCGAUGGCGUGGGUCGAUUCCCACUGCUGCCA
rfam:Ciona savignyi cont_35029, whole genome shotgun sequence.